rnacentral:rRNA from 1 species
AAGGAUCAUUAUCGAGUGUAGGGUUCUAACGAGCCCGAAUCUCCCAACCCUAUGUUUAUUGAAUUUUGUUGCUUCGGCGUAGCGUGACUUCAGAGUCCCAUCGGCUCCGGCUGAUGUGUCUGCGCCGAAGGCUCUAUCAAAAUCGUUUAAUUGUUGUCUUAAUCAUUGUUAUCAAUACAAAAAAAACUUUCAACAACGGAUCUCUUGGUUCUGGCAUCGAUGAAGAACGCAGCGAAAUGCGAUAAGUAAUGUGAAUUGCAGAAUUCAGUGAAUCAUCGAAUCUUUGAACGCACAUUGCGCCCUUCGGUAUUCCGGGGGGCAUGUCUGUUCGAGCGUCGCAAACAUAAGAUCAAACAAUUCAUUGUUUGGAUUUAGGAAUUUUGUAUUUUGCACAAUCCUAAAAAGNAUCGGCGGAUUGAUAGAACUCCUGACGCGUUGAACAAUGUUUCGUUAGAUGUAAGUUCUAGUNGGUCUUGCCAGGUAAGCCGAAUGUGCGGUCAAUCACAUGAUUUCUAAAAUCGACCUCGGAUCAGAUAGGAAUACCCGCUGAACUUAAGCAUAUCAAUAAGCGGAGGAA